rnacentral:rRNA from 1 species
AUUGAACGCUGGCGGAAUGCUUUACACAUGCAAGUCGAACGGCAGCACGGACUUCGGUCUGGUGGCGAGUGGCGAACGGGUGAGUAAUGUAUCGGAACGUGCCCAGUCGUGGGGGAUAACGUAGUGAAAAUUACGCUAAUACCGCAUACGAUCUAUGGAUGAAAGCGGGGGAUAGCAAAUCCUCGCGCGAUUGGAGCGGCCGAUAUCAGAUUAGGUAGUUGGGGGGGUAAAGGCCCACCAAGCCAACGAUCUGUAGCUGGUCUGAGAGGACGAUCAGCCACACUGGAACUGAGACACGGUCCAGACUCCUACGGGAGGCAGCAGUGAGGAAUUUUGGAGCAUGGGCGAAAGCCUGAUCCAUCCAUUCCGCGUGCAGGAUGAAGGCCCUCGGGUUGUAAACUGCUUUUGUACAGAGCGAAAAUGUUUCUACUAAUACUAGGAGCUCAUGACGGUACUGUAAGAAUAAGCACCGGCUAACUACGUGCCAGCCGCCGCAGUAA